CCGUACUUGUGUUGUUUUCGUUGGAAAUGAUGAUGCGGGAAGUUUUGUCUUAAAAUGAAUAGAUCGUUCGAUUGAAAUUACAGAACAUACACUACUACUGACUGACAGGGAUAUAUUCUGUCGGCAAAGGAGCUGGUCAUGGACCUUUGCCGUCCUUUAUCCAGAGCCUUCCACAGCGAUGGCAGAUAUAUCGCUGCUUGGAUCAACACUUGACCACGCCGUUGAGUCCAGGAUCUCAGUGGCAGCCAUGACAACAUCAACAGAAUGACAUCUGCAUACAUUUUGCACCUCUUCCUUGUACUGUCAGAUUGAAACAUCUCUACUCUGACAGAAUGAAGUGAAUGAAUCCCCAGGAUUGUUCCUCAGGAAAAUCUCUUCAACCGGCUGUUGACAGUUUGCAUGCUCUUUGGAUGGAAUUACCUUAGCUUGGCUUGCAGAGAAUCUGUUAUUUAAAAAACCUGGGUUGCUUUGUGUUAUUGAUUUAUUGACCUUAAAUGUAUUUUAUAUGUAUUUUGCCAUUAUUGUAAAAAACAAUGGGCAUAUACACUAGCAUAUGUUUGCAAACAGACACAUUUUAUUUUUGUAAAUAUCUUGAAAAUUCAUUUUGUAGGUUGACCUCAGACCAUGAAAGAUUAAUGGUAGGUUAUCUUUGACCAGAACAUGACCAGUAUUGUUUUUGAAGUUUGUUGGUCAAAGGUGAUGGUCAUGGCAAACAAUGGUUAUUCUGCACAAUGACUCUUAAAUUAUUUGACCUUAUACAAUUGAUAUUUAGUGAUUGAUAUAUCAGUCCAACACAUAUGUAACAGGGUCCUGCUGAAAUUCAGCAAGAGCUUAUUAGCAUUGCAAAUCAUUAUUUGUGCAUGUAACU